GAACGCUGGCGGCAGGCCUAACACAUGCAAGUCGAACGCCCUAGCAAUAGGGAGUGGCAGACGGGUGAGUAACGCGUGGGAACCUUCCCUAUAGUACGGAAUAGCCCAGGGAAACUUGGAGUAAUACCGUAUACGCCCGUAAGGGGAAAGAUUUAUCGCUAUAGGAUGGGCCCGCGUAGGAUUAGCUAGUUGGUGAGGUAAUGGCUCACCAAGGCGACGA
rnacentral:rRNA from 1 species